UCUAGAACUCGAGAUAUGGGCAGAACAUUGAACAGUGUCUGAGCUGCAGGACAGAUUCUGACUUCUUCGUUGUUGCUAAGAUUUGGACUUUUAAAUAGCAGAAUUGAGUCUUGGACUCCUCAUGAAUGUUUUAGGCCUAUGUUUUAGCUUUAGC
rnacentral:pre_miRNA from 1 species